GCCAUCAUGCUUGCUUUGUCCUCUUUGAUUUUUCUUUUUCUUCUUCUAAAACUCUCACCAUAAAAUGUCUUAGAUUAUAGACAGACAUCUUUUGUUUCUGAAAGUGAUUCAACAUCUGAAGCCUUCUUACUCUUUCUUCUUCUCUACCUUUAACACCAUAGAGCUAUUUCGCCAGAGCUAACAGCGCCGCUGCCGGACCACCGCAUGUUAGCCGCUAUGUAGUUAAUAUCUUGAUAUAUCAGUGAUAUAUUGGUUAUCGGUUCCCUACCGAAAUAUCCGUACAAAAUAUCGGUCAGAAUAUCGGUACCGAUAAUAUCAGCGAUAUUGACUAAUAUUUGACCGAUAUUGGACCAAUAUAUCACUGAUUUUCCCGAUAUCAGUACCUUUCUUCUUAGUUCUACUAUCUUUCUUUUUUCUUAUUGUUGCUAUUAGUGUUUUGAGUCUUAAUUGUUAGUUGUUAUUGUUAAAUGUUGUUGUUUUAAGUCUUAGUAAGUUCCUACUUACUACGAUUGUUAAUGUUUUGCAAGUUGCAAAAGGUUAAUUUGUUAAUGGUAGGAGAGUAUACUGAAUUGUUAGUGUUAAAUUGCUAUGUAUAUAAAUUUAGCAUGAUAUUAAAAUUACCGAUAUCCUACCGCGAUGACCGAUAUCUCAAAUAUCGGUCCUUGACCACUAUCCGAUAUUUUACCGCAUUAACUACUUAGGUUAGCUGGGCCAACCGAUAUUAUCAGCGAGACAACCGAUAUCACAAUUACAAAAUAUCGGUAUAUAUCGCCAAUUUUAUCGGGACCGAGAUUAUUACCGAGAUUUUAAACCGAUAUUCUUGUGGAGGUCCGAUAACCGAGAUAUCGAUGAUAUAUCACCGAGAUAUCGCCGAUAUUAACUAAUUUGGAUGUCUCUUAGCGAUUGGUGCAACAUCCCCCCUCUAUAUGUUUUCGCGUUUGGAGAUCUUAUGGAAGCUCACAGUUUUCUUAACUUGAGUACAAAAGGAAAAAAGAUUAUACACGGCAUCAUCAUGGUAACUUGUUGGUGUAUUUGGAGAAAUUGUGAGUGGAGGAAAUAAAAAUGUUAUUGUUCAUUUGUA